rnacentral:rRNA from 1 species
AUUGAACGCUGGCGGCAUGCUUUACACAUGCAAGUCGAACGGUAACAGGCCUUCGGGUGCUGACGAGUGGCGAACGGGUGAGUAAUGCAUCGGAACGUACCCAGAGGUGGGGGAUAACGCAGCGAAAGCUGUGCUAAUACCGCAUGUGAUCUGAGGAUGAAAGCGGGGGACCGAGCAGCAAUGUUUGGCCUUGCGCCUUUGGAGCGGCCGAUGUCGGAUUAGCUAGUUGGGGGGGUAAAGGCCUACCAAGGCGACGAUCCGUAGCUGGUCUGAGAGGACGACCAGCCACACUGGGACUGGGACACGGCCCAGACUCCUACGGGAGGCAGCAGUGGGGAAUUUUGGACAAUGGGCGCAAGCCUGAUCCAGCAAUGCCGCGUGCGGGAAGAAGGCCUUCGGGUUGUAAACCGCUUUUGGCAGGAACGAAACGGUGUCCGCUAAUACCGGGCGCUAAUGACGGUACCUGCAGAAUAAGCACCGGCUAACUACGUA